UCCAUUCGUUUCGCUGCAAGUCUGCGCUGCUAGUAGCUAUUGCACAUUUCACACCGUAGCUUCACACGAAUGGAUAAGUCACUAAUUGACCGUAUUGUGUUGCCAUUGAAAUUGGUUGACAUUCUUAAGAACAUUAAACCUGCGCAUGCUCCAGGUGAUAAGAAUGCCUUGCAGGCCUGGUUUUCACCACAUCAGGAUACAGGGCUGCUGGCUGAAUUCCGGUAUGAAACGGAGCGCUGGUGCACCGCAAUCUGUGUGUCAUACACAUGCACAUCCCUCUUCAGACAGAUGGACAGCCAAACAAACCAGGUGACAUAUGAUGGACUGAAUAUCCACAAAUAAGAGGCCUGUACCAGUGCCAUCCAGCAUUUGUGGGGAGCCGAAUCCAUCACGGUACUCCUGCCAGGUUCGGUUAAAGUCAGUUUGUCCAUCAAACCGGCGCUGGAACACCGUCCAUCCCCCACCAGCUGAAACCAUGUCACACACGGCCUGGAAUGGACAAGUCAUAAAGA